rnacentral:rRNA from 1 species
GCAACUCCUGUACCCAUACCGAACACAGAAGAUAAGCUUGCCGGCGUUCCCUGUUGUACUGAAGUGUGCGAGCCUUCGGGAACCAAGGAUCGCUGCCGGGG